rnacentral:rRNA from 1 species
AAAGGCGAAAAGAACCCCGGCGAGGGGAGUGAAAAAGAACCUGAAACCGUGUACGUACAAGCAGUGGGAGCACGCUUAGGCGUGUGACUGCGUACCUUUUGUAUAAUGGGUCAGCGACUUAUAUUCUGUAGCAAGGUUAACCGAAUAGGGGAGCCGAAGGGAAACCGAGUCUUAACUGGGCGUUAAGUUGCAGGGUAUAGACCCGAAACCCGGUGAUCUAGCCAUGGGCAGGUUGAAGGUUGGGUAACACUAACUGGAGGACCGAACCGACUAAUGUUGAAAAAUUAGCGGAUGACUUGUGGCUGGGGGUGAAAGGCCAAUCAAACCGGGAGAUAGCUGGUUCUCCCCGAAAGCUAUUUAGGUAGCGCCUCGUGAAUUCAUCUCCGGGGGUAGAGCACUGUUUCGGCAAGGGGGUCAUCCCGACUUACCAACCCGAUGCAAACUGCGAAUACCGGAGAAUGUUAUCACGGGAGACACACGGCGGGUGCUAACGUCCGUCGUGAAGAGGGAAACAACCCAGACCGCCAGCUAAGGUCCCAAAGUCAUGGUUAAGUGGGAAACGAUGUGGGAAGGCCCAGACAGCCAGGAUGUUGGCUUAGAAGCAGCCAUCAUUUAAAGAAAGCGUAAUAGCUCACUGGUCGAGUCGGCCUGCGCGGAAGAUGUAACGGGGCUAAACCAUGCACCGAAGCUGCGGCAGCGACGCUUAUGCGUUGUUGGGUAGGGGAGCGUUCUGUAAGCCUGUGAAGGUGUGCUGUGAGGCAUGCUGGAGGUAUCAGAAGUGCGAAUGCUGACAUAAGUAACGAUAAAGCGGGUGAAAAGCCCGCUCGCCGGAAGACCAAGGGUUCCUGUCCAACGUUAAUCGGGGCAGGGUGAGUCGACCCCUAAGGCGAGGCCGAAAGGCGUAGUCGAUGGGAAACAGGUUAAUAUUCCUGUACUUGGUGUUACUGCGAAGGGGGGACGGAGAAGGCUAUGUUGGCCGGGCGACGGUUGUCCCGGUUUAAGCGUGUAGGCUGGUUUUCCAGGCAAAUCCGGAAAAUCAAGGCUGAGGCGUGAUGACGAGGCACUACGGUGCUGAAGCAACAAAUGCCCUGCUUCCAGGAAAAGCCUCUAAGCAUCAGGUAACAUCAAAUCGUACCCCAAACCGACACAGGUGGUCAGGUAGAGAAUACCAAGGCGCUUGAGAGAACUCGGGUGAAGGAACUAGGCAAAAUGGUGCCGUAACUUCGGGAGAAGGCACGCUGAUAUGUAGGUGAAGUCCCUCGCGGAUGGAGCUGAAAUCAGUCGAAGAUACCAGCUGGCUGCAACUGUUUAUUAAAAACACAGCACUGUGCAAACACGAAAGUGGACGUAUACGGUGUGACGCCUGCCCGGUGCCGGAAGGUUAAUUGAUGGGGUCAGCGCAAGCGAAGCUCUUGAUCGAAGCCCCGGUAAACGGCGGCCGUAACUAUAACGGUCCUAAGGUAGCGAAAUUCCUUGUCGGGUAAGUUCCGACCUGCACGAAUGGCGUAAUGAUGGCCAGGCUGUCUCCACCCGAGACUCAGUGAAAUUGAACUCGCUGUGAAGAUGCAGUGUACCCGCGGCAAGACGGAAAGACCCCGUGAACCUUUACUAUAGCUUGACACUGAACAUUGAGCCUUGAUGUGUAGGAUAGGUGGGAGGCUUAGAAGUGUGGACGCCAGUCUGCAUGGAGCCGACCUUGAAAUACCACCCUUUAAUGUUUGAUGUUCUAACG